GUGGGGAAUAUUGGGCAAUGGGCGAAAGCCUGACCCAGCAACGCCGCGUGAAGGAAGAAGGUUUUCGGAUCGUAAACUUCUAUCCUUGGUGAAGAUAAUGACGGUAGCCAAGAAGGAAGCCCCGGCUAACUACGUGCCAGCAGCCGCGGUAAUACGUAGGGGGCAAGCGUUGUCCGGAAUGAUUGGGCGUAAAGGGCGCGUAGGCGGCCCGGUAAGUCUGAAGUGAAAGUCCUGCUUUUAAGGUGGGAAUUGCUUUGGAUACUGUCGGGCUUGAGUGCAGGAGAGGUAAGCGGAAUUCCCGGUGUAGCGGUGAAAUGCGUAGAGAUCGGGAGGAACACCAGUGGCGAAGGCGGCUUACUGGACUGUAACUGACGCUGAGGCGCGAAAGUGUGGGGAGCAAACAGGAUUAGAAACCCUUGUAGUCC
rnacentral:rRNA from 1 species